AGUGAACGCUGGCGGUAGGCCUAACACAUGCAAGUCGAACGGCAGCACAGUAAGAGCUUGCUCUUACGGGUGGCGAGUGGCGGACGGGUGAGGAAUACAUCGGAAUCUACUUUUUCGUGGGGGAUAACGUAGGGAAACUUACGCUAAUACCGCAUACGACCUACGGGUGAAAGCAGGGGAUCUUCGGACCUUGCGCGAUUGAAUGAGCCGAUGUCGGAUUAGCUAGUUGGCGGGGUAAAGGCCCACCAAGGCGACGAUCCGUAGCUGGUCUGAGAGGAUGAUCGGCCACCCUGGAACUGGGACACGGUCCAGACUCCUACGGGAGGCAGCAGUGGGGAAUAUUGGACAAUGGGCGCAAGCCUGAUCCAGCCAUACCGCGUGGGUGAAGAAGGCCUUCGGGUUGUAAAGCCCUUUUGUUGGGAAAGAAAAGCAGCAGGUUAAUACCCCGCUGUUCUGACGGUACCCAAAGAAUAAGCACCGGUUAACUUCGUG
rnacentral:rRNA from 1 species